AAAGAUCCCCUUUGAUGGUGUUACCGAAAGGUAGUAUGAGCUAAACAAAGUCGCACUGUGCCAUCCUAUAAUUUUGUCCAAGAAAAUGUGUCCUCUUCAUGCCAAAUCAACUCCUCAACAUUCUUUGGGCUAAGAAUUAAUGCAUAGUUGCAAAUAACCAUAUACAUUUUGUUAAUUUUAAGAUAAUUAUUUUUAUUAUUUACCUUGAAAUAUGCUCUUUAUUGUAAGAGGAUUAAUUAACUUUGGCCCUUUCCUGGUAUCAUUUAUCCUUGGAUACUGAGUGCGUCUUAUAAUUCUGUUUUCUAUGAAGAACUUUAGAGAUGGAGCUUGUUUGUUGUAUUCACACUUGUAUGAGGCAUUUUGUAAAGAAGUUCUUUACUUUGCAGAUAGAUAGCAUAAUAGAAGCACAGGGCAGACAGAUGAUCUGCAAAGGUCACACUAACAGUGUUUACAUUUAUGUCUGACUCCACUGCCUACUCUCUUUAGGUCAGAAUGCCUCCUAGGCCCUCAAAAGCGGAGGCAGCCAGAAACCCAGCAUUAUUCUUUCUAAUCCUCAGUCCUGUAAAUGAGAAAAUGAUGUCUUACUUUUAUAAAGUACUACUAAUAAUAGGGUCUGCAUAGGGUACAUGAGUGGCAAAGCACCUUCACAAACAUAUCAUUUGGUCUUCUCUUAUCACCCCAGGAAGUGGUGAAGAAGCAGGCAAGUGGGAAACUGAGGCUCGGAAAGCUAAAAUGGCUUGUCUGAGGACCCACAGCUCAAAAACAGCAGUGUUGUGCCUGAAACUUAACACUUUUAGACUGUGGUGCCGAGUUCUGUUCUCUGUACCUCUCUGGUUUUUGGCAUGAAAAUAAAGCAGGGAAAGUUAGCAAAGAAAUUCAUUAACAAAGUUACCAUUUAAAUAACCUCUCCAUCAAAUACAUGGUCUUCAUACUGCAACAUUUCCAGGUGAAUAACUUUGGUGUUUCUCUUCUGACAGUGGCGUUCACAAUACAUACAAGAGGGAGCUUGGAGAUCACACAUUUCCUUACCUUGGAGGCUGAAGAAGAUCCUGGUUUAUGAACUCUCUGUUAGUAAGAAAACCAGCAAAAAGGCCUUUCAGAUUCUCCGUCCCAUAUAGUGUGCUAUUCAGGAGAGCCGAUAGAGGGCGGUUACUGAACACAGAUCGUGUGAAAAUUAACAGCUUCCGAACUGAUUUCUUUGCAUUGGCUUUGUCAGUUUUACUUUCUAUUUCUUGGGAAAUAUUUCUAUUUCUAGUUCUAUUAGAUUUCUAUUUCUAUUCGUUUCUAUUUCUUGGGAGUAUGUCAGGGGAAGGCCAAGAUCAUAGCAGCAACGCAGACAGGAUUUAUGAAGUCUGCUUACCAUUUCUCAUAGAACUCUAGAUUCUCCAAGCCUACAAGAUUCUCCAAGCCUACAAGAUUUAUUCUAAUAACCCCUGAAGUUAAUCAGAUUCAUCUUAUCCCUGACUCCUCACCCCUCUUCUCUCACCAAUACACAUGUCCUCUUGCUCCUGGUAAUAACACAAAAACAACAUGGUUAAAUUUUGGACUGAACAAUUACUAGGCAAGAGAAAGCACAAAAUCCUUUGGUCUUGCACAGCUAAUGGUAAGCAGCAACUGGAAAUAAAAACAAAUACACAUUAUGAGUUCAGCUAUAUCUCAAGUUAGUUUUUUUGCUUUUGCUUUUGUUUUCUUUUCCCUGCUCUAUUAAUGAGUUAAUCAAUUAAGAUUUUCUUUCCUUGCAUGGAAAGAUUUUUGGCUUUGUUUUUAGAUUAAGAAAGCUUUUCUCAGUUUCUUAGUUAAUUAUGAACAUGCACUAUCACAUCAUCUUGGACUCAAUUCAAAAACUUAUCUAAAACAUGUAAUUACUGGGAAAUUCCAGAUUAAUUUCCUGCAAGUUUUAGUUAGUUAACGAUUGUGUUAAACACUUAAGAGAGCAGCUCCUAGAUGACUAAACCUGCUCAGCUGAAAUCAAAUGCUCUCAUGCUUCCCUGAAUGGACACACACAGAGUCUCUUCACCUGAGGAAUAAAGUGUAAGAUCUUCAGAACUUUUAUUCAGGGGAGAAAGGCCCAGGUAGCUGCUGCUGUUCAGCUUAAGGCUAAUCUGACCUUCUAUAACAGGAGUUCAAGUCCCAGAAAUCCCUAGUCCUCCAUCAGAGGGAGAGGCGGGCAGUAACGUGCAUGGAGCUGUCACCUCCUAUGACAACAACACCUUCUGGAAUACCUCCUGAAGGACACGCCUGAGGAUGUUUUACAGUUAACUUUUUAAAAAAUACAUAAGUAGAAAGAGAACACUCUAAAAUAAAAAUAAAAGGUAUAGUAUAAUAAACACAAUAACAAAGUCACUUAUUACUAUCAAGCAUUGUAUGCUGUACAUAAUUGUAUGUGCUAUGCUUUUAUAUGACUAACAGUGCAAUAGAUUUGUUUACACCACCAUCACUAAGGGCAUGCAAGUAAUGUGUUGUGCUACAACAUACUACAACUAUGAUGCCACUAGGUAACAGAAAAUGUUCAGCUCCAUUAUAAUCUUAUGGGACCACCUUCCUAGAUGCAGUCUGUCAUUGAUGGAAACGUUGUUACACAGCACAUGACUAUAGACUAAUAGCCAUAGAUUUAUAAUAUGGGAGGAUGUACUAUAUAUGCAUUGAAAAGAGCUCUGGAAGGAUACCAAUACAUUACCAGAGGUUGCUUCUGGGCCUUAGGGUAUGUGUGGUUUUAUAUUUUCUCCUUUGCACUUUUCUGUGUCGUAUCCAAAAUUUCAACAACAUAAUACAUUUACUGUUAGGAAAAAUAACCUAUUAAUUAAAAACAAGAUACAGGAAAGAGGGAAAUGUUGC
rnacentral:lncRNA from 10 species